AACGCACAUUGCGCCCUGUGGUAUUCCGCAGGGCAUGCCUGUUCGAGCGUCAUUUAACCACUCACGCCUAGCGUGGUAUUGGGGCACGCGGUCUCCGCGGCCCUCAAAAUUAGUGGCGGCGCCGGUGGGCUCUAAGCGUAGUACAUACUCCCGCUAUAGAGUUCCCCCGGUGGCUCGCCAGAACCCCCAAUUUUUACAGGUUGACCUCGGAUCAGGUAGGGAUACCCGCUGAACUUAA
rnacentral:misc_RNA from 1 species